AGACGACAAAGCCAAACCUGCCGAAAGACAGGCACGGAAAGGCGCGGUUCCAUUGAUUAUAACUGGGUUGCCAUU
rnacentral:ncRNA from 1 species